rnacentral:antisense_RNA from 1 species
AGCAGCAGGGGUUCAACUCAAGCCUGACACACAGGCAAAUAUCCAACCAGCCCUUCCUCCGCCCGGCUGCUCCAGAACCACCUGUGGCGAGCAGGGCUUUGAGAACAUCGGGCUGUGGUUUCCAGACGUCAGGCCCCCUGUGGCCUCCACCAAGCAUCUGAGAGUAAAGCGUUACUGAUGCACUCCACGAGGUCCUGGCCAGACCCUGCGCAGGACAUCCCGCCGCACGGGCCCCCGGCUGCUGGGUCAGCGCUGCCGCCAGGCUCAGACUCACCCCAGCGCCCUCCUUGGGCCACCUUUCUCUGCCUCCUUGGUCAAGGCCCAGACCCAGGCUCCGCCAGGCCCCGCCUCCUCACGCUCGCGGUGGCCACUGGGUCUUCUACCAUGUGGUGCCAGCUCCCUCUCCUCCGCUGCGGUGUCCUAGCCCAGCUCUCUCCCUGCCAGGCCUUCUGAAGUUCCACCCCCUGGCACUCAGCUCAUGGUGGGAACAGGACCAGGCUCUCCUGUUGCCAAGGGCAGUGAGAUGUUCGUAGCUUUAUUUCCCAGUACAUUGAUUUUACUGAUUUUAGUUUAUCUUCAGUUGAAUAAUUGUGUGUAUUUAUGGGGUUUAUGUGUUAUGGGGUUUGGUGUGAUGUUCUG